rnacentral:rRNA from 1 species
AGGACGAACGCUGGCGGCGUGCCUAACACAUGCAAGUCGAGCGGUAAGGCCCUUCGGGGUACACGAGCGGCGAACGGGUGAGUAACACGUGGGCAACCUGCCCUGCACACUGGGAUAAGCCUGGGAAACUAGGUCUAAUACCGGAUACGACCUCCACGGGCAUCUGCGGAGGUGGAAAGGUUUUUCCGGCUGAGGAUGGGCCCGCGGCCUAUCAGCUAGUUGGUGGGGUGAUGGCCCACCAAGGCGACGACGGGUA